AUGUUUUCAAGUUUUGGGGUGAAAUAGAUUAAUAUACAUAAUAGAUUAAGAUAUACGUGUGCUUUUUUCAUGAAGAAUAAUCCUUUCUGAGAAUUUUUUAUGCAUCUUGGUAGCUCCAUAAUUUUCUUCUUCCUGAUUGGUGGCAGUUGUCUCGGUUGUGUUUAACUGCUAUAAUUGUGCUAUGCCUUAAACAAUGUGAUGCUACAUUGAGGGCUAUUUUGUGCAACAGGUAUCAUGAUG
rnacentral:misc_RNA from 1 species